rnacentral:rRNA from 1 species
UACGAAGGGGGCUAGCGUUGUUCGGAUUUACUGGGCGUAAAGCGCACGUAGGCGGAUCGUUAAGUCGGGGGUGAAAUCCUGGAGCUCAACUCCAGAACUGCCUUCGAUACUGGCGAUCUUGAGUCCGGAAGAGGUGAGUGGAACUCCUAGUGUAGAGGUGGAAUUCGUAGAUAUUAGGAAGAACACCAGUGGCGAAGGCGGCUCACUGGCCCGGAACUGACGCUGAGGUACGAAAGCGUGGGGAGCAAACAGG